UACGUAGGGUGCAAGCGUUGUCCGGAAUUACUGGGCGUAAAGAGGUUCGUAGGUCGGUUUGUCGACGUCGUUUGUGAAAACUCACAGCCUCAACUGUGAGCCUGCAGGCGAUACGGGGCAGACUUGAGUACUGCAGGGGGAGACUGGAAUUCCUGGUGUAGCGGUGAAAUGCGCAGAUAUCAGGAGGAACACCGAUGGCGAAGGCGGCUACCUGGACCAGCACUGACACUGGAG
rnacentral:rRNA from 1 species